ACUCCUACGGGAGGCAGCAGUGGGGAAUAUUGCACAAUGGGCGCAAGCCUGAUGCAGCCAUGCCGCGUGUAUGAAGAAGGCCUUCGGGUUGUAAAGUACUUUCAGCAGUGAGGAAGGCGGGUACGUUAAUAGCGUGCCGUUUGACGUUAGCUGCAGAAGAAGCACCGGCUAACUCCGUGCCAGCAGCCGCGGUAAUACGGAGGGUGCGAGCGUUAAUCGGAAUUACUGGGCGUAAAGCGCAUGCAGGUGGUUUGUUAAGUCAGAUGUGAAAGCCCGGGGCUCAACCUCGGAAUAGCAUUUUGAAAACUGGCAGACUAGAGUACUUAGAGGGGGGU
rnacentral:rRNA from 1 species